GCGGAGGAAAAGAAACCAACAGGGAUUGCCUCAGUACGGCGAGUGAAGCGGCAAAAGCUCCAAAUUUGAAACCCUCGGGAUUGUAAUUUGAAGAUUUGGYAUUGGAGAAAGCUAACCCAAGUUGCUUGGAAUAGUACGUCAUAGAGGGUGACAACCCCGUCUGGCUAACCGUUCUCCAUGUAUUGCCUUAUCAAAGAGUCGAGUUGUUUGGGAAUGCAGCUCAAAGUGGGUGGUAAACUCCAUCUAAAGCUAAAUACUGGUGAGAGACCGAUAGCGAACAAGUACUGUGAAGGAAAGGUGAAAAGAACUUUGAAAAGAGAGUGAAAUAGUAUGUGAAAUUGUUGAUAGGGAAGGAAAUGAGUGGAGAGUGGCCGAGGUUUCAGCCGCCCCUCGUGGGCGGUGUACUGCCGACGCCGAGUCAUCGAUAGCGAGACGAGGGUUACAAAUGGGAGCGCCUUUCGGGCGUUCUCCCCUAACCCUCCACACUGCCACCGACGACAUAAUCCACCCAUUUCACCC
rnacentral:rRNA from 1 species